rnacentral:rRNA from 1 species
UACGUAGGUUGCAAGCGUUGUCCGGAAUUAUUGGGCGUAAAGAGCUCGUAGGCGGUCUGUUGCGUCGGCUGUGAAAACCCGAGGCUCAACCUCGGGCCUGCAGCCGAUACGGGCAGACUAGAGUUCGGCAGGGGAGACUGGAAUUCCUGGUGUAGCGGUGAAAUGCGCAGAUAUCAGGAGGAACACCGGUGGCGAAGGCGGGUCUCUGGGCCGAUACUGACGCUGAGGAGCGAAAGCGUGGGGAGCGAACAGG